UGUGUUCCGUGCCCUCCACAGCGUUGCUCAAAACGAUGCUGAGAAGGGAACAUUCGGUACCAUCUCCAUCUGCAGGAUUAACCAGCCCCACUCGGCUCCAACAGCACUGUUCUGUGGGUUAAUAGACCAUCUCAAAUGAAACCCUCCGAGGAAAUGGUUCAGCUUUUAUGAGUUUUCCAGCACCUACUUUAAUUUGUCAUCCAGACAUUCUAAAAGCAAUAUUCAAUUUGACAGAGUUGCCUCACUGUGGACAAGAAAUCAAUUUGGAGCUGCUCCUUGCACAGGGGAUGCCCAAAGGCCCCAGCUGUGAUCAGGGCCCCAGCAUGCCAGGCAACAUGCAAACACAUAGGAAGAGACAGUCCCUACCCUGAAGACCUUACAGUCUUGCUAGAAAAGACAGAUAGAAGGUAGGAGGAGAAACAGAGGCACAGAGUGGAAAAGUGACUUGCCCAAGGUCACACAGCAGGCUCACACACGUAAUUGCUAUCCAUUUCUAUACAUUAAUUAUACCAAUGGAGGAACAGAUUUAUUCACUGCUUCAAAUGAUUAAUAAGUCAGCCAGAAACAUCACAGUCCAUAGUACUGCAAUAGGAAGAAAAUGAUCAGAGACCACUCUUCAAUGGACAUCAGACGUAUCUUCUCCAUCAAACCACACAGGGGCCGGGAGAUGUAGGUAAAUUGUUCUAUUCUGUGCAGCAACAACUGGCUGAAAUGUAAUAGCAUAUGGCACAAGCUCUUAAAAGCAAAUUGUGAGAUCAAGGAGGCAUUCAAGUGGAAACAGGAAA